CUCAAGUUUGUGGUGAUUGUUGCACAGAAAAAUCACCAUACUAAGUUCUUUCAAUCUGGAUCUCCUGAUAAUGUUCCACCUGGAACUGUUCUAGACAACAGAGUCUGUCAUCCGAAGAAUAACGAUUUCUAUCUUUGUGCACAUGCUGGAAUGAUUGUACCGGAGAAGCACUAGAACCAUUUGGCGUGGGUAAGUUAUUUUGUCAUCAUAUUAACUAGUCAACGACUAUUUUGGUUAAAUUCAAGAUGUGUUUCUUUAAUAGUUUUGUAUAAAAAGAAUA